AGACGUAGGAUGCAAGCGUUGUCCGGAAUUAUUGGGCGUAAAGAGUUCGUAGGCGGUUAUCUAAGUCUGGUGUUAAAGCCCGAAGCUCAACUUCGGCAUGGCAUUGGAAACUGGAUGGCUAGAGUGUGGUAGAGGUAUCGGGAAUUCCUGGUGUAGCGGUGAAAUGCGUAGAUAUCAGGAGGAACACCGGUGGCGAAAGCGCGAUACUGGGCCAUAACUGACGCUGAGGAACGAAAGCCAGGGGAGCGAAAG
rnacentral:rRNA from 1 species